ACGACCUUACUUGAACAGGAUCUGUUCUAUAGGAUCGUACCGCUGCAUCCUUGACUAAUAAGGAGGCAAGCACUCAAGCUUGGUUGAUGACGCAUGACCUCUGGGCCAGAGCGUGAUUAACGGUGAAGGAUUGGACUUGAACUCCUCUCCGGAGCUGUAGAGGAUCGUUCUUGGCCAGGCCUGCCUGGUUGAGUUGGCCCACAGGUUGUCUGACAAGCU